rnacentral:misc_RNA from 1 species
AGUUGUUCAGUUAGGUUCAUCGAUUAUUUUGAUUUUUAUUAAUAACUCUGAUUAUUUCCAACCCUGUGGUGGGGUGUUAUAGACCCAUCAUUAAUCUCUUAACAUUUAUUGCCAGGUGAUCUCCAGUAGCAGACCAUGAUCAGAGGCAGGAAGGGCGGGCAGAGGUCGGUGGGUGGCAGAGAAGAACCUACAGGUCCUCCCACCCUACCUUCCCUCACUGGUACCGGCAGACACAACCCCAGUGACAUAGCUCGGUACACCCUGCAGCAGCUUUUGGUGACCACGGAGAUACUGGUCCCUCCCAUGCCGAGAUUUGUGGGUAGAGGCUCUGGUCGUCGUCUAGUAGGCAGAAGGUCACCACGCCUGAGAACAGCUUCUACCACACACCUCAAAGUUACCACACACAUGGAGGGUGGUAGUGGUGGAGGAGGGAUCCGGCAAGACUCAACAAUGACGCCAGCCACCAUGAUGGAGCCUGCCAUGGUAGCUGCUGAAUUUCGGAACCGCAUGAAGCCCCUAACACAACCCAAGAAGUACGGGGCAGUGCCAGCUCCUGCAGGGGAUGGGUCCAACCCCUGGGACUACAGUCAGUUGCUACAUAGACGCCGCGCUAGGAUACGCCAUGCUGCACACUUCCACAGACGUCGUCGUGCAGAGUUUGCCCUCCUAGUGAUGAAUUCGUGCCGCAGGCUGAGGGCCACCCACCGCCCCAGCCCACCAGACCUAGUCCAAACCCUCAUCCACCGCAUACCCAUCAUCCUCAGAACAAAAUAUGACCGCAUCCUGAAGGAACUGUUCCAAGAACUACAGGGGAGAGAAGUGCAGCCAGUGCAAAUGCAGCCUCUGGGAACUUUUGAAAGGCAUGACGUGGUAGGUGUGGAGCGGGUGCCAUGGGUGGGGCGGGAGAGGCGUGCCCUGAGUCGUGCCAUGGCCAGCUUUCCCCCAGCUGUGAGGACUGUCAUGGCCCAGGCCCUGAGGCCACUAGACACACUCAGUCUGGUUGACAGCCAUGAUGGAGGUGGGGGUGUAGGUGUGGGUGAAGGUGUGGAGCUGAGCGUUUUGAUCACAAGGUGGCGGGCAGCAGCUAGGGCAGGACGUUCUCAUCUCCGUAACAACUGGUUCCCCACAUCUCUCUCAUCCAUUCGGGAAGCGGCUCUGGCUACCAACCUCUCUCCUUCUCGUAGACACACUGUAAUGCAUGCCUUCAAUAACCUCCUGGCCUCUAAACUGCAAGAGGUGCUGAUUCGCAGUGUGGAGAGCGUCCUCAAAUGGCUGGGAAGUGAGGAGGAGCCAUGGGUGGGUCCCAGGAUCAAAUUGUACCUGGUCUUAGAUGAUAACCAGGUGGUCCUGAACCCAGAUGAGGAGGCACUCUAUUCAGCCUUCAUGGAUCUCUUCAAGGAGCUGGAUGAGUGUGUACAACUGUAUCGUGGAACAUGGGAUGAACCAAAACCCCCCAAGAUACCCAAAUGGCGUCAACGUGCAGCAGAGAUGGGACCCCCAGGUGAAGAGGAAGUGGCUCCCCCACUGCGUCCUCUUCAACCCCGCCGGGAAACUCUGGUUGUCACUCUUUCUGAGCCUCAGUGGGAAGCCUUCCGGAACAUGCUCACCACAAGCAUUCAAAUUCGGUUCACUAAGGCUGGAGAGUUCUUGGACCAAAUAUCCAGUGAGUGGUCGACUGUGCUGCGUGGAGAGGUGAGGACCGAGGUGGAUCACUUUCUGAGUCUGGGCGCUGAGCUGGAUGAGUAUGCAGGUCAGAUCCACCACUACUCGGCUUAUAUUGAGCAGGCCAGUCAUGUCCCCACAUCUGCCACUCUACAUGUCUUCAGACUGGAGUACAAAUUUCUGCGACAGAGUCUGCUGUUAGUGUCUUCGUCCUUCGUGUCUGUUCUACGAGACAGACUGAUAGCUGACCACCGUGAAACAACACAAGGACUUGAUCAACAGUUUGGAAUGAUCCAUAAACGUCUCCAUGAGAUUCCCAAGUCUACAGAUGAGCUGUUCAAGCUGAUGGAAUAUGUGGAGGAAGUGCGACGCAUUACCAUCCACCGACUGGCUGAGGAAGUGGCGGAUAUGGUUGUUAGGCUGAAGGUGAUCUUGGAUGUGGUCCACCUGACCCCUGAUGACCUUGCCACCACUGCUGCAGUCAUUGUUUGGCCAGCCAAGCUCAAGCCUGUUGUGGACCGUGCUGUUGAGUCACUGGAGGAUUUAAAACAAGAGUUUGAGGAGACUUUGGUGGAGAGAUCAGGGGAAGUCAACCACACCUUGGAGCGCAUCCAACAGUUUGUGACAGAGUUGGAAGAAUUGUCUGAUGUCUCCCAUGUCAACAAGUACAUCAGGGAGGUGCGAAAAUUGGAGGGAAGACUGGAGAAAGUUAGCACUCUAGUGUCAUGGGUCAACCAGGAGGAGUCACUCUUCAAGUUCCAGCUCUCAUCCUUUCCACUUCUUGCUGAGCUAAAGGACUGCUUGGUGCCAUACGAUGAGCUCUUUACACUAGUGAUGAAGUGGCGUAAAUAUGAGAAGUAUUGGAUGGAUGGUGAUUUCACGAGCCUCGACCCAGAUUUUAUAGAUGGUGAGACAGAAGAACUGGCCAGGGAACUGUUUCGACUUCGUAAAACCUUCAAGAUGAAAUUUAAGCAGCAAGCUCUAGAGGGUGACCCACGAAAGGCCAGGAUGAACCUGGAUGACCCAAAUCCAGAUAAUCUGCCAGGACCACUGCGGGUGUGUGCCCUUGCCCUCACACAGAUCAAAAACUUCAAGGAGCACCUACCUCUGGUGUCUGUCCUGUGUAACAAAGGGUUACGACCACGACAUUGGGAAAACCUAAAUAAAGCAGCUGGUUUUGACAUUACUCCUAAUGCUGGCACCAGUCUACGAAAGGUGGUACAGAUGCAGCUUGGAGGAUUGCUGAAAGAGUUUGAGGUAGUAAGCAGCGGUGCAUCUCGGGAGUAUAGCUUAGAGCUCUCACUGGCCAACAUGCGGAGUGCAUGGGAGUCAGCACAACUUACCAAGGCCCCACACCAAGAGGUGGAUGUGGAGGUACUAGCAGGGCUACAAGAGGUGCGGGAGCUGGUGGAGGAUCACCUAAUUAUUACCCAUACUAUUAAAAAUUCUCCGUUCGUUGGGCCAUUUGUUGAUGAUGUGAAGGAGUGGGAGAGGAUCCUCCGAACAGUGCAGGAGACACUCACUGUGUGGUUAAAGGUACAAACACUAUGGGUAGAACUGACUCCUGUCUUCUCCACUCCUGAUCUGCCACUCCAACUGCCAGAUGAACAUAAACUAUUUCAGGAACUGGAUGAGAAAUGGGUGUCAGUGAUGGAGGAGACUGUGUCCACUGAACAGUUGUUAGAUGUAGUUGGGGAUGCUGAUGCUCUUGAGGAGGUGUCUUAUUGCCUCAAUAAUUUUGCUGUCAUCCAGAAGGCUGUUCAUGCCUAUCUUGAUAACAAGAGAAGGAUCUUCCCAAGACUGUACUUCCUUUCUAAUGAGGAACUGGUAGCACUUCUGUGUGAAAAGGAUGUUUUAAGGUUGGAGCAGCAUAUCCGCAAGUGUUUCGAUGGUGUUCACUUGCUCCAUCUGGAUGAUUGCUGUGAUAUUUAUGCUGUGGAGAGCAAAGAAGGUGAAGUUGUCCAGCUCAUCAAAAAGCUUCCAACCUCUCAAGCCCACCACAGCAUUGAGAACUGGCUGCUCCAGUUUCAGGAAUCUCUUAUCUUUACACUGAAGAUGAAGACAUGCUCAGGUGCUGAUACAUGGUCUCGGCAAGGUGGUAGUUCUGGAGGGGAUAUUGACAUUCUCCUACCACCCUGGCCACUCCAGGUGACGCUAACAGUGAGACACAUCUUUUGGACAGCUGAGGUCCAUCAAGCUAUCUGUGGAGGAACUCAGGCUUUGCAAGAGUGUCUAACUCGGGUUGAGAAGGAGGUUCGAUUGCUUGUUUCUGUCCUCAGAAAGAACAAUUUAGAUGGCAAUAGUCAGUCUGUCAGUACACCUCAUUCCCCUGGUACUCCAUCAACCCCAGGUACCCCAUCCACACCAGUAUCAUCAUCCAGGGUGAGCACAACCUCUAUCAUUCCUCCCAGUCCAUCCCGUCAUGCCCUCUCUACCCUCAUACUGGUCACAGUUUAUGCCAGGGACAUACUCAGAGACCUGAUUCGUCAAGGUGUUAGUGAUGAGGAAUCAUUUACCUGGCUGUCUCAGCUCAGGUGUUACUUGAAUGAGGAUGAGAUAGAGGCAAGGAUGCUGUUUUGUCCUUUACCAUGGGGCUGGGAGUAUGUGGGAGCAGAAGGACGUUUGGUAGUGACACCCCUCACUGCCCGUGCCCACCAUACACUCGUCACUGCUUAUCAUGCACACCUGGGAGGAGCACCAGAGGGCCCUGCUGGCACUGGAAAGACAGAGACAGUCAAGGAUCUUGCCCGUUCACUGGCCAUGAACUGCUUAGUGUUCAACUGUUCUGAUGACUUGGAUUAUAUUUCAAUGGGCAAGUUCUUUUCUGGAGUGGCAGCAUCUGGUAGCUGGGCUUGCUUUGAUGAAUUUAACAGGCUUGAGGUAGGAGUGUUAAGUGUGGCAGCCCAACAGAUCCUAACAGUAGUGAGUGCUAGAAGGGAGGCCAGAGAUACAUUCUGUAUGGAGGGAGGCCAACCCCUUUCCCUCAACCCAAAGGGCUUCAUUACUGUAACAAUGAACCCUCAGUACAAGGGCCGUGUCACACUUCCUGAUAAUCUUAAGCUGCUUCUCCGGCCUGUGUCAAUGAUGAUGGCAGACUACCACUCCAUUGCUGAAGUUUCACUGCUGUCAUGUGGGUUCCUGCAUGCCCGUGCCCUUGCAGCUCGUAUCGUCAGUGUCAUGCAUUAUGCACAGCAGAUGCUUCACCCUCACCACCACUAUGACUUUGGUAUGCGAGCUGUCAAAACUGUACUGAUGGUCACUGGUAGACUGCGUAUCUCUUUCCCUGAGUGGUCAGAGACAGAAGUUAUUCUCCGGGCCUUACGAGAGGUCAACCAUCCAAAGCUGGUCACUGAAGACUUCCGCAGGUUUGAGGACAUCUUGGUAGACUUCUUUCUGGAGCUGCCACCCACACCAAGACCACCUGAUGACGAUCUCACUAAAUAUAUUGAGCAGGUAUGUGCUGAUGGUGGACUGUUGGUAACCAAUGAGUUUGUGCUGAAGAUUUUACAACUAUUUGAGACACUAAAGGAGAGACAUGGUGUUAUGCUGGUCGGCCCUCCCUGUGCUGCCAAAACUACCAUCAUCAAGACACUAUCCUCGGCCCUGAGUUUGAUGGAAAGUGAUCGACCAAUCACCAUUGAGGCCUUGAACCCAAAGACACUAGCACAGGGACAGUUAAUUGGUUCCCUGAGCCCGGUCUCUCGAGAGUGGUCUGAUGGUCUGUUGGCACAGAUUAUUAGGCGAGGCAGAGCACAACGGUACUGGCUGGUGCUGGAUGGCCCAGCUGAUGCUUCCUGGGUAGAGAACCUCAACACAGCACUUGAUGACUCUCGCAAGCUGUGCCUGCCCUCGGGGGAGACUCUUCCUUUACCUACUGACAUGGCAGUCAUAUUUGAGGUUUUGGAUUUAUCACAGGCUUCCCCCGCCACUGUGUCGCGGUGCGGUAUGGUGUACGUAGGUGGUGGCACUGUUACGUGGAAUGUUGUUCUACACUCAUGGCUCCAUGCCCAUGCUCAUGACACUUGGUGGGAGGAAUACUCCCAUAUCCUGGAAGACCUUGCCAAUUGGCUCAUCCCGCCAUCCUUGACUUUUGCUUUAGAACACUGUCGUUUCUUGGUGCCCAUCAUCGAAGUUUCACUUAUCAGGUCUGUGUUUCCACUUACGGCAACAAUGAUAGAGGAUGUGCUGCAAGACUCCUCUGUCUUGCAGAAGGACACUGCCAAGGUGGGCCCCAUCUGGACCACAGCAGCUUUUCUCUUCUCCCUCACCUGGUCCCUUGCUGGUGCCAUGACUAUGGACACUAAAGAUGCUUUUAGUGAUUUCUUUAGAAGACUUGUAAUGGGUUACAUUCCAGCUUAUCCACCACCAAACUCUAUAGGACAAAUUGGCUGUCCAUAUCCAACUGAGGGGAGUGUCUUUGAUGUGAUGUUUGAUGCCAAACAGCGGUCUUUCUGGCGGCCUUGGACUGAUGUUGUUAAACAUGCUGAGAUCACAGAAACCUCAAAAAUCUCAACCGUUCUUGUUCCCUUGAUAGAAUCUGCCAGAUUAGACUACCUGUUAGAUGUAUGUGGACGAUCCACUGGGGGAAUACUAGUGGUUGGUGAGGGUCAAAGUGGACGUAGAGUAAUAACACAGCACUACCUACAAGGCCUUGCCACCUCAACUGUUGAUUCAGUCAUAAUUCCCAUCACUCCAGUUACCACAGCACACAUGUUAAAGUCUGUUGUGAUGAGCCGCAUGGCACCACGGGAGUGUGGGAAGUGGGGUGCCAAGGAAGGUCGUAGGCUGGUAGUGUUUGUGGAUGAUCUUCACCUAGCGGCUCAAGACAAUUACUAUGCACAGCCAGUCCAUGAAGCAGUGAGGGAGGCGAUGCACCACAACAAUUGGGUCAGUACUGAAAGCACCACAAAAAUGUGUUUGGAGGAUGUGACAUGGAUUGGUGGUACCUCCUUGAACUUAGGAAAUAAAGCCGCAAAUGAUGAUGAUGCAGCAGGGACGGGUUUGUUGGAGCCCAGGUGUUUGGCUGGCUUUAUUGUGAUUGUUGCCCACACACUUUCUAAGGACACUAUCAAUCGAAUCUUCACCACUCAACUCAAUGUUUUUCUCCGAGCUGGAGGCUUCGUACCAGACAUGUUUACUGUGGUGGCAGGCAUUGUGGCUGGUACCCUUGAUGUUUUGCACUAUGCCCAAGUAUCACUACCAUCAACACCUACCAAGAGCCAUUAUGUAUUUAACUUGGCCACUGCUGCUCGUGUAAUUCACUCUGUUAGCUUCUUGAGAAAAGAAUCCAUGGAAACAAAGAGGCACUUUGUCAGGUUGUGGGUACAUGAGAUAUACCGGGAAUUUUGUGAUCGAUUGACAGACGCAUCAGAGGUGACACCCAUCUACAACAUUCUUGUCAAUACCAUUAAGACUAGCUUCAGAGACAAGAUUCAUGUAAUCUUUGACAAACUCUGCAAUGAAGAUGGAUCGGAGAAAAACAAUUCAAGCCAAAAUCAAUUAAUUUUGAAUCAUCAAGGGAAGACCAGCAACCAACAGAAUCCACCUAAGGUGACAGAGGCUUGCAUCGAGCGUGCAUGUUGGGGCUUGAUGGGCAGCAUAGACACUACAGCAGAAGAAAGGCGUUAUGAGGAGCUCACAGAUGCUGCUCAGCUCCAUCAAACAAUCACUCUCUUUAUUGAUGAGUACAAUAAUGAGAACAGCACACCAUUAAAUCUUGUCACUUUCAAGUAUGUGGUUAAUCAUGUGUCCCGGAUAUGUCGUGUACUAGGACGAGCAGGUGGUCAUCUUAUGCUGGUGGGCAUGGGUGGGUCAGGCCGACGUUCCCUGGCCCGCCUAGCUGCACAUAUUUGCGGACAUAAGCUUGCUUAUCCAUUCAUCAAUGCCCAAGAUGGGUAUGCAGAGCUAAGGAAAGUAUUGAAGGAAUCCCUGAUCAGAGCAGGUGUUGAUGAAAAGGCCACAGUAGUGGUGGUUGGGGAUGCUGUACUUCAACAUCCAACUGUUCUACACCUGCUUAAUACACUAAUUCUUACUGGUGAUGCACCCAACUUGCUGCCUCCAGAGGACCACAGCUAUCUAAUGGAGCGCCUACGUCUGUCCACUGAGGAUCGCAGUGUAAGUGAAGCAGACCUGUGGCGGGAACAAGUACAACGUGUAGCAGAUCUUGUACAUGUGGUAAUAACUUGUCCACCCUCUUCUGUGCUCCGCCACACCCUCAUCCAAUAUCCUGCCUUUGCAACCCAUGUUACCAUGGAUUACUUCAAGCCAUGGCCACAAGAAGCACUUGUAAAAGUGGGUGAGCACUAUCUGGCAGAAGUUCCCCUAAGAAGAUCUAUUAAAGAUGCUGUCAUUUCUGCUGCUACAGCCACACACCAGACUGCCAGACAAAUGUCAGAACAGAUCAUAGCAGAAGGAAAAUGGUGUCUUCCUGUGACCCCUGCCUUGUAUCUCCACCUUCUGCAGGAGUUCCGUAGCCUAUUCACCACCCGGCAGGCUCACACCUCCUCCCUCAAAAAGAAAUAUCUUUCUGGGCUUGAUAAAUUAGCUUUUGCUGCCUCUCAGAUCUCAGUGAUGCAGGAGAUGCUGGCAUCACUUGGUCCCCAAAUAGAAGAAGCCUCCCACGAUGUGUCCAAGAUGAUGGAGCUGAUUGAACAGGAAUCUAUGGAGGUUGAGGCUCGAAGAAAGCUCGUGGCUGCAGAGGAGACAGAGGCUGGAGUACAUGCAGCACGUGCCCAAGCAUUGAAAGACGAGUGCCAGACAGAACUGAACCAGGCACUCCCAGCUCUACAGGAGGCAGUUGAGGCCCUCAACACACUCAAGCCUGCAGACAUCACAGUUGUAAAGAGUAUGAAGAAUCCUCCACAUGCAAUUAAGCUUGUCAUGGCUGCAGUCUGUGUCAUGUUGGAAAUCAAGCCUGAAAAGUUAAAAAACAGCAGUGUUAAAGCGACAUUUGACUUUUGGGGCCCAAGCAAACGUCUCCUGAGUGAUCUGAGCUUCUUGCAGCAGCUGCGAGACUAUGACAAAGAUGACAUCCCCGACUCUGUCAUGGAUAAGAUUAACAAGGAAUAUGUUCGCCUACCAGAGUUUGACCCAACAUCAGUAGCUAAAGCAUCAAGUGCUGCUGAAGGACUGUGUAAAUGGGUCCGUGCCAUGGCCUCAUACAAUGCAAUUGCUAAGGUUGUAGCUCCAAAGAGAGAACGUCUGGUAGAAGCUGAGGCUGAAGUGGCUGCCAUCAUGUCUGUAGUUGAAGCCAAGAGAGGACAGCUCAGGGAAUUGGAAGAAAAGUUGGAAGUCCUUCAGCGUCGCUUCUCGCUCUCAUGUCGUGAAAAGGAGAACCUUGAGACCGAGCAGAAACUUUGUGCACUCAAAUUAGAAAGGGCAAGAAAACUUAUAAGUGGACUGGGAGGGGAGCAGACUCGUUGGGAGGCUGCAGCAGACAAUGCUGCUGCAGACCUGGCACGCUUACCAGGUGACACUUUGCUUGCUGCUGCAUCGUUAGCAUAUCUUCCACCUCACCAGCCUGAUGUUAGAGAUCGACUGGUGGAAGAAUGGAUCUUGGCAGUGAAGGAGGCAAAGCUUGAGGUAACUGAUUCCUUCAGCCUGGUGGACACACUCACCCCAGCACUAGACAUUCGUGCAUGGGGCCUUGAGGGACUUCCCACUGACUCUUUCUCACUUCAGAAUGCCACCAUCAUCAAGCACACUGUGAAGUGGCCACUGCUUGUAGAUCCUGAUGACCAGGGUACACGCUGGAUCCAAGAGCAUGAAGCUGCCAAUAACCUAGAAAUCAUCCAGGAACAGGAUAUUGACAAGUUGUCUCCCAAAGCUGUGGGUGGGGCACGGGUAACUGUUUUAGAGGAUGUGCUGACUCGCUGUGUUCCAAAGGGUCGGCCAGUCCUUCUUCUUGAUCUGUCUGGAGAUCCACCGUCUAUUCUCACCAACAUUAUCAACCACACUACAACAGAAGAAGGUGGUGUCCGGGUGGUGAGUGUUGGGACCCUCACGUUGAGAUACAACAAUGAUUUCCGGCUGUACCUAGCCACUCGACAACCGCGACCUCAUUUUUCCCUGGAGACUGCUGCUGCUCUCACUGUUGUCAAUUUCACUGUUACUGUUCAUGGUCUACAUGGUAACCUGCGACAGAUCCUCGUCAGGAAAGAGCGCCCUGAAUUGGAGGAUGAACGACAGAAACUAGUGUUGACAACAUCUUCAUACCAACGUGCUUUGCAAGGGACUGAGGAACGUAUCUUGCAUACUUUGUCUUCUGUGCAGGGGAACAUCUUGGAGUCUGAAGAAGCCAUCAUGAUACUUCAGGAUACUAAGCAAAUGUCAGAUGAGAUCAAGCGUAAACAGGAGCAAUGCGUGGAGACAGAGGCAGCCUUGCUUCUUUGCUGCCAGCAGUAUGAGGCAGUGUCAAGACCUGCAGCUGCUCUCUACAUGACUCUGGCAAGCCUCUGCUCUCUCUCACACAUGUACCAGUUUUCUCUCAGUUGGUACAUUAAUCUGUACAUCAAUGUUAUAGAGACAACGUAAGUAUACAUAACACUGUUGCUGAAGUUUCAAUUGUGUGUGCUGGAAUACACAAAAUUAGGAAAAAGGCAGUUCAUUAUACCUGAUGAGCACCCAGCUUAUUUUUAGAUGGUCAAUGGAGCAUCAUUGCAUAUUUGUAAAAAUAAGGAAUAAUGGAACCAGUCCAAAUUCUUUCAGAUGUGUGUUAAUGCACUAAAAAACUUAAAUGUACAUUUACUUUUACAAAAGAUUCAUAAACGAAACAAAAUUGACACCUCUCAUAUAUGCAUUUGUUUGCAACAUUAUUUCAAAUAUCUUUUAAUGCAUUCAGCUUUGUUUUGUUUUUUACUUUUGCAUUACUUGAUAAUUGCAUUACACAGAGUGUUUAGUGGAAGGUUCGUUGUCCUCACUUAGCCAUCUUUUCUGCUUUAUAACAAAACAGUUCAUGGAGCUAGGCUGUUACGACAUCAGGGUGGGAAGAGCUCAGUAUUAGAGCGUCGCCUGAGCCUGUUGCAGGAAUCACUAGUGAGUCACGUCCAUUCAGCAGUGGUGUGUGGCCUGGCUGCUGCUCAUAGGCUGCCUUUUACUUUCCUCAUUG